UGUGAGUGCCCUCCUUGGCCGUUUCCUUCCUAGACUUCGGGCCGCUCCCGAGAGCGGCCUUCUCUUCAUGCGCG
rnacentral:sRNA from 21 species